UACGUAGGGGGCUAGCGUUGCUCGGAAUCACUGGGCGUAAAGCGCACGUAGGCGGCCUCUUAAGUCAGGGGUGAAAUCCUGGAGCUCAACUCCAGAACUGCCUUUGAUACUGAGAAGCUUGAGUCCGGGAGAGGUGAGUGGAACUGCGAGUGUAGAGGUGAAAUUCGUAGAUAUUCGCAAGAACACCAGUGGCGAAGGCGGCUCACUGGCCCGGUACUGACGCUGAGGUGCGAAAGCGUGGGGAGCAAACAGG
rnacentral:rRNA from 1 species